GUCGGCACCCUCCUCUCUCUCGCAGCCUCACUGGGGUGCUGCUCGCCUGCAGCCUUCUUGGUAUCUCCUGAUAACCCCUCAAUGUCCUUCUCUUUUGCCCUUCCAUCAGUCUUCAUCCGGCAGUUCAAUUCUGCAGUGCACACCAAGAUAUUCAAAUAACUCACCAGCUGAGCUACCGUGCCCAGUGUUUGAUCAUUUGUUAUUGAAGCUGUACCUGUGGGACUGGCAUCCGGCAUCACUUGGAACUGGCUGUGAGAAUCUGCACCUGAAACUAGGCCUGAUUCAAGAGGAGUCUCACACAGUCCAGCCUGUGCUUCAGAUUGUGAAGACUUUUACUCACCAUAGCCUGCUGAGGACCGUUCCUACGCUCUUCCUUUGGUGUGCAUGGGUUGGCCCGUCGGCGUUUGUCUAAGCAACUGAGCAGCUGAAAGCCCAAUGCGGAUGUUCAAUGUGCUUUCGACAAUGAGCUGUGGAGGUACGAUCAGGGUGGCCGGUGCUGAUAGCAGUAAGGUGUUGUCAAGACUGUUUGUGAUCCGUGGCCAGGCCGCCCACAGACCUGACACCCUUAGAGCUUCAGAAGGUCUUUGCCUGAGGCUGUUGAUGGAGUAUCAGCAAGAAAGAAACAGACCAAAAGACUGCAAGGGUUACUUGAUGGACAGAAGAGAACAGUUAAGGAUACGUUGCUGCAGGGAACAGAGCUACCUCAGCAGGUCCACCUUGCAAACCAUUCCCUGCAGAAAGCAAAAGAGCCCCCCAUUGGUACCUGUGGACAUCAGUGGUGGUGAUUUCAGAUCCAGAGAGUAUAAAUCCAGACCACGACUUUGUUUCGACCAACCAGUUGUGUACUCUGUGACUGUAACUCUUUAUAUUCAACUGGUUGGUUGAAAGAGCCUGUAAAUCAAGCGGGGGUGGGAAGGGAAAGUGCUACACCGACGUCACGGUAGCAAAAAAAAGUGUCGAUACAAAAACUACACCAACCAGCGCACAACAUGUGGGCAGCCCAAAACUGUCCAGCG